CAAGACAAGUUAGGAUAGUCACGGUGGGGAGCGCGAAUAGAUUUCUUCUUGCUAGGGGGGGGCGUAACAGAAAAUAAUUGAGAAGCACUGAUGUGGAAUGUGCAGGCAGGCCACUCUGGGUUUUUGUUUUUUUUCUUCAGGUUUGGUUGGUAUUCAACUCAAUAUUUUGACAUUUUGAAUGACUUUCAAGCUGGGAAGAUUGGAAUAGUUUCUACGUUUAUUUAAUAAGCCAUUCAUAAGCUGCUGUGCUUCUCAACUCAACAAACAAAUGCACGAAGUGUCACGCAUCGUUGCGUGUCGAUCACGUCAUCUGAUAAGAGCUGCGCCCGCAGCUGCUCUGGCCGCAAAAGAAGUCCUGAAGUAUUUCCUGUAGCGACAUCAAAAACCCUAAAGUUCAGUUGUAUUUCACUUUUAUGUUGUAAUUUUCAUAUAGGUGUAUUGUUUAUGUUCAUCGCAUUGCGUUAUUUUUCAUGAACACUGAGACCUACUAGGCUACUGUAUUUUCAAGGUGGUCAUUAUGGAGGAAGCCAAAAUUUUUCUUUUUCUUUUUACAAAUGCGUUUCAAUACGCACAUUUUCACUAUUUGCAGGUCAGCCCGGUCCUGAUCCCCCGCAAUUAGUAGGUGUCAAUUACACGCUCUUCCACUAGAUGGCAUAAGUCACAUUGAACCUUACUUCUACCGGCGUAUCCAGCUUUUGCCAUUUAUACAAUAGAAAAACUUCCUAUUGAAUCAAACAGGCCUCGAUUUUACACCGAACCGCUCGAUUUGUUGAGUAAAUUGCAACAAGAUUGUCAUUAUAUAUUUUUCCACUAUUUUUAAAUCGCAAAGGUGAGCUCAGGAGACUGUUGAACUAUGAAGUAUACUGAUAUGCAGGUCAAAUAAAUUAGCUGUGUGUGUGUGUGUGUGUCACCUGUCAUCACCUGCUACUACUCUUGCACCACAACACUCAAAUGGCUGAUGCAAACAUAAAACUCCCCAAACAAAUUAACGCUUUUUUUUAACCACAGUGCCAUGCACCUUAUGAGUCAUGACCUCAAAACCUCUCACACACACAUACACACACACACACACGGACUUGUUUUAAUGCACUUUUUGUUUGCGUUACCUCUUGGUCUUGUUCAUUGCAGCUUCUUUCUCUCCACGGCCUCCUCCUCCUCCUGGGCAGCAUCUGAGCACGGCGUACCUACAGCUCCAUGCUUGACCCCUUCUCCUCCUCCUUCUCUUCUUCGUCGUCCUCUUCAAAAUCUUCACCUUCCGGCCAUCCACAAAACCGCCCCCCCUCCUCACCUCACCCCGAAAGUCAGUCAAGCCACUAUCCGAGCAUGUGCGGUGAGCACAGAACAGCAGAGGCAGACUUCAUGCACCUGUCAUCAAGGA